rnacentral:rRNA from 1 species
UACGUAGGGUGCGAGCGUUGUCCGGAUUUAUUGGGCGUAAGGGGCUCGUAGGCGGCUUGUCGCGUCGGGGAGUGAAAGCCCGCUGCUUAACGGCGGGUUUGCUUUCGGUACGGGCAGGCUGGAGUACGGCAGGGGAGACUGGAAUUCCUGGUGUAGCGGUGGAAUGCGCAGAUAUCAGGAGGAACACCGGUGGCGAAGGCGGGUCUCUGGGCAGUAACUGACGCUGGAGGAGCGAAAGCGUGGGGAGCGAACAGG